rnacentral:rRNA from 1 species
AUGAGGGCGAGCGGGUCAUGGCGGAGUGGCGCCAGCGCCACCCGGAGGACGUCACCUACGAGCAAGCCUACUGGGCUAGGCGCCGCAAGGAGGAGACGCAAAGGCGUCGCGCGGAGUGGUUGGACAGGCGUCGGCGGAAGGCCCUGGCGCUAUCCCAGUGCGAAAUCGUUGAGAAUGGUGGUGAGACGAUCUUUGCGUCUUAUGAUGAUCGUAUCGUUGGGAAGACAUGUGGCUCGAUACCUCGGACCAGACCAGCGAGGAUGGCGACGAUGA